rnacentral:rRNA from 1 species
UACGUAGGGGGCAAGCGUUGUCCGGAUUUAUUGGGCGUAAAGAGCGUGUAGGCGGCUUGACAGGUCUGCUGUGAAAACUCGAGGCUCAACCUCGAGAUGUCGGCGGAAACCGUCUGGCUAGAGUCCGGAAGAGGAGAGUGGAAUUCCUGGUGUAGCGGUGAAAUGCGCAGAUAUCUGGAAGAACACCUAUGGCGAAGGCAGCUCUCUGGGACGGUACUGACGCUGAGACGCGAAAGCGUGGGGAGCGAACAGG